CAGCCGCCGCGGUAAUACAGAGGGUGCGAGCGUUAAUCGGAUUUACUGGGCGUAAAGCGUGCGUAGGCGGCUUCUUAAGUCGGAUGUGAAAUCCCUGAGCUUAACUUAGGAAUUGCAUUCGAUACUGGGAAGCUAGAGUAUGGGAGAGGAUGGUAGAAUUCCAGGUGUAGCGGUGAAAUGCGUAGAGAUCUGGAGGAAUACCGAUGGCGAAGGCAGCCAUCUGGCCUAAUACUGACGCUGAGGUACGAAAGCAUGGGGAGCAAACAGGAUUAGAUACCCGAGUAGUCCCUGUCUCUUAUAU
rnacentral:rRNA from 1 species